rnacentral:tRNA from 1 species
GGUGCUGGCGGCCUGGGGGCUGGUGGUCCUGGUACGGCUGCUCGGCCGGCGGACCUGGAUCAUGGCGCUGGCCAUGCCGGCGCUG